rnacentral:rRNA from 1 species
GAUGAACGCUGGCGGCGUGCCUAAUACAUGCAAGUCGAGCGAACGGACGAGAAGCUUGCUUCUCUGAUGUUAGCGGCGGACGGGUGAGUAACACGUGGAUAACCUACCUAUAAGACUGGGAUAACUUCGGGAAACCGGAGCUAAUACCGGCUAAUAUUUUGAACCGCAUGGUUCAAAAGUGAAAGACGGUCUUGCUGUCACUUAUAGAUGGAUCCGCGCUGCAUUAGCUAGUUGGUAAGGUAACGGCUUACCAAGGCAACGAUGCAUAGCCGACCUGAGAGGGUGAUCGGCCACACUGGAACUGAGACACGGUCCAGACUCCUACGGGAGGCAGCAGUAGGGAAUCUUCCGCAAUGGGCGAAAGCCUGACGGAGCAACGCCGCGUGAGUGAUGAAGGUCUUCGGAUCGUAAAACUCUGUUAUUAGGGAAGAACAGAUGUGUAAGUAACUGUGCACAUCUUGACGGUACCUAAUCAGAAAGCCACGGCUAACUACGUG